GACGAACCGUGCGAACGUUGUUCGGAUUCACUGGGCUUAAAGGGCGCGUAGGCGGGUCAGCAAGUCCGGGGUGAAAGCUCUCGGCUCAACCGGAAAAGGGCCUUGGAUACUGCUGGUCUGGAGGAAGGUAGGGGCGUGUGGAACUUCCGGUGGAGCGGUGAAAUGCGUAGAUAUCGGAAGGAACGCCGGUGGCGAAAGCGACACGCUGGACCUUUUCUGACGCUGAGGCGCGAAAGCCAGGGGAGCAAACGGG
rnacentral:rRNA from 1 species